AGUGAACGCUGGCGGUAGGCCUAACACAUGCAAGUCGAACGGCAGCACAGUAAGAGCUUGCUCUUACGGGUGGCGAGUGGCGGACGGGUGAGGAAUAUAUCGGAAUCUACUUUUUCGGGGGGGAUAACGUAGGGAAACUUACGCUAAUACAGCAUACGACCUACGGGUGAAAGCAGUGGAUCUUCGGACCUUGCGCGAUUGAAUGAGCCGAUGUCGGAUUAGCUAGUUGGCGGGGUAAAGGCCCACCAAGGCGGCGAUCCGUAGCUGGUCUGAGAGGAUGGUCAGCCACACUGGAGCUGGGACACGGUCCAGACUCCUACGAGAGGCAGCAGUGGGGAAUAUUGGACAAAGGGCGCAAGCCUGAUCCAGCCAUACCGCGUGGGUGAAGAAGGCCUUCGGGUUGUAAAGCCCUUUUGUUGGGAAAGAAAAGCAGCAGGUUAAUACCCCGCUGUUCUGACGGUACCCAAAGAAUAAGCACCGGCUAACUUCGUG
rnacentral:rRNA from 1 species